UCAUUGUAAUCAUCAUAGUUUCAUAGUCACUGUCUUCGUACUAACUCAAGACCUUUGUACUUUUCCGCCGACCAGAGUUCAUAAGCAAGGACAAACUCCCUGUUGUUGUAAAACCAAAAUACAUUUUUUAUUAUCUAAAGUCUUACGUCCGCGUUAAACCUCGACGACUUCGAAACUGAACCCUUCCAGGACUGGGAGACUGCAAUAAAGGUUUAUGUAACGCUCUGGGAGUGUUCCAUAGCGGUUACAUGGAAGACACAUCGUUACAAAGGCGCAAAAAAUAUCCUACUUGGCAACAGCGUGGUUGAUGUGAUGCGUAUCCUAUAUAAAUGGGUUCUACGGUUGCAACUCAGUACUGUAGUCUUCUUGCUGAGAAGUAACGUUAAAGUUUGUAGGAUGGGUCGCGUCACCUUGCUCGUAGGAAUCCUGGUCGUGUGCUUCGUCGCCGUAGCCACCGGCCAGUUCCUCGGAGGAGGAUUCAACACUCAAUACUUCCCAGGCUACGUACCCGGUUACAACUUCCACCAGCAGUUCCCUGGACACGGCUUCGGCGGCUGCCGGUACUGGUGCAGGAGCUACAGCCCUUAUUCCUACCAACAGUACUACUGUUGCCAGACACCAAACCAGGCAUUCUUCGGAUAAGAACUGACGAUGAUGGCUUUCCUUUGUGAUACGUUUUGAGGGGACCAUUUAACCAGGGACAAAUACAACGAAAUAAUAGUUUUCAUCACUACACCACUUGAAUUAAUGUUACUUUUUGUUAUUUUUCACGUGUUUUUGGAUUGCGUCAAAUUGACGAUGAAUUUUUCUUACAAUAAACAUUAUGGGUAA